UACGGGGGGGGCAAGCGUUGUUCGGAAUUACUGGGCGUAAAGGGCUCGUAGGUGGCCAACUAAGUCAUACGUGAAGUCCCUCGGCUUAACCGGGGAACUGCGUCUGAUACUGGAUGGCUUGAGGUUGGGAGAGGGAUGCGGAAUUCCAGGUGUAGCGGUGAAAUGCGUAGAUAUCUGGAGGAACACCGGUGGCGAAGGCGGCAUCCUGGACCAAUUCUGACACUGAGGAGCGAAAGCCAGGGGAGCAAACGGG
rnacentral:rRNA from 1 species